rnacentral:rRNA from 1 species
AUACGUAGGUGGCAAGCGUUGUCCGGAAUUAUUGGGCGUAAAGCGCGCGCAGGUGGUUCCUUAAGUCUGAUGUGAAAGCCCCCGGCUCAACCGGGGAGGGUCAUUGGAAACUGGGGAACUUGAGUGCAGAAGAGGAUAGUGGAAUUCCAAGUGUAGCGGUGAAAUGCGUAGAGAUUUGGAGGAACACCAGUGGCGAAGGCGACGGUCUGGUCUGUAACUGACACUGAGGUGCGAAUGCGGGGGGAGCAAACAGGAUUUGAUACCCGGGUAUUCCACGCCGUAAACGAUGAGUGCUAAGGGUUGGGGGGUUUCCGCCCCUCAGUGCUGCAGCUAACGCAUUAAGCACUCCGCCUGGGGAGUACGGUCGCAAGACUGAAACUCAAAGGAAUUGACGGGG